UCAAUAAAAUCAAAUAUGCCUCGUAUAAUUGUGAAGAUAUGGUUCACAAGUUUCUAGUGUCAGCCGAUAACUGACAACUAUGAGGGAAAUUAUCUGUUUU
rnacentral:ncRNA from 1 species